AGUGGACGCUGGCGGUAGGCCUAACACAUGCAAGUCGAACGGCAGCACAGUAAGAGCUUGCUCUUACGGGUGGCGAGUGGCGGACGGGUGAGGAAUACAUCGGAAUCUACUUUUUCGUGGGGGAUAACGUAGGGAAACUUACGCUAAUACCGCAUACGACCUACGGGUGAAAGCAGGGGAUCUUCGGACCUUGCGCGAUUGAAUGAGCCGAUGUCGGAUUAGCUAGUUGGCGGGGUAAAGGCCCACCAAGGCGACGAUCCGUAGCUGGUCUGAGAGGAUGAUCAGCCACACUGGAACUGAGACACGGUCCAGACUCCUACGGGAGGCAGCAGUGGGGAAUAUUGGACAAUGGGCGCAAGCCUGAUCCAGCCAUACCGCGUGGGUGAAGAAGGCCUUCGGGUUGUAAAGCCCUUUUGUUGGGAAAGAAAAGCAGCAGGUUAAUACCCCGCUGUUCUGACGGUACCCAAAGAGUAAGCACCGGCUAACUUCGUG
rnacentral:rRNA from 1 species